ACGUAGGUGGCAAGCGUUGUCCGGAAUUAUUGGGCGUAAAGCGAGCGCAGGCGGUUGUUCAAGUCUGAUGUGAAAGGUCACAGCUCAACUGUGGACGUGCAUUAGAAACUGAAUAACUUGAGUGCUGAAGAGGGCAGUGGAACUCCAUGUGUAGCGGUGGAAUGCGUAGAUAUAUGGAAGAACAUCAGUGGCGAAGGCGGCUGCCUGGUCAGUAACUGACGCUGAGGCUCGAAAGCGUGGGUAGCAAACAGG
rnacentral:rRNA from 1 species